UGAGACAAGUCUUCAGUCUCACCUGCAGCUUCUCUGCAGUAUAAAUUAACCCCUGCUUGAACACAGGGCUAGGAAUUUACUUUUCACACACAUAAUCCUCAGCUUCAUGUGGGAAAAAAAGGCAAAGGCAGAGCAUAUGCUGCUACCUGCUCUCUAGGCAGCAUUGCUGCUGUGGCUGUGGCAAAAAAACACCGUUCAGACAUAGUACCUCACUUAGCUCCUCUUCUGCUGGAAUCCACAUUAGCCCACAGGUAGGUCAGAAUUAGAGGAGGAAAAAAGUGAGGGCCACUUUCUGCCCCUGUCUUCCUAAGCUGCAGAUAACUAUUGAUUGUCCACAUUCACUGCCUGAGGCAAUGGAGUAGAAGACCAUGAGGAGAUGUUUAAAGUGCCUGGACUGCGAAGAAGUGUGAGGCAGAAAGGAAGUGUUAAACUUGCACUCAUCGUCUGACUUGAUAAGUCUCCAUUAGAUGACAAUGGCAAAACCUUGUAAACAUUAGGGAUCCCCUGCUAGCUACCAAAAAACCCCACAAAAUUCUGUGGUAUGAACUCUAGGUCUUCCUUCAUAAGCUCCUGUCUUAAAUACGUUGACAAGUACCACUACACAAACCUUGGAUUUGGACUGCCAACCUUAUCCAGUUGCCUUUCAGUUCCUUCGUGCGGUGCCAGUUUAAGCCGUCCCGCGGGCUCCCGGCCGAGGCUGUGCCCGCACAGCCCCGGUGAGUCAGCAGUCCCGGAGCGCCCUGCCAGGCCUGCCUGCCCUGCCGACGAGAGAAGGGACCCGCCAUUCCCGCACAGUGCGUGUGCACAUGCUUGGGGCCGCGCUGGGCAGGUCAUUUGCCUCAAUGGUAAAUGGUGUUUUGCAGAGCCCGGUUACCUAUGGCAACAGCGGAGAGGAAUACUGCAGGCGAUCUUCUGAAUCACAGGAUUUACAGCCCGUAUGUUUAUUCUGCAGAGAAACACUUCCAGCCCUGCUUCUGAUGUGAGCUGGGAACCGCGAGAGGGCUUUACAGAGCCAUUUAAAAGGCAAUGUGAGCUGGAAGCGAGGCAUUUUUAAUCAAAGGCCAGGUUCAAAAAAGAAAAACAUAGCCGAAUCAGAGGAGUCUCCAGAAUGAGCUCCAGUGUCACCGCGUACCUGCAGCCACACGCGCCGCCAUUAACAACCUCCUCACAACUUCACGGCUGCUCUCCGAAUUUCUCGCCUCUGCCUCAGCCCUUGCACAGCCGCCCUGGGCCGAUCGGCAGCACACAGCGGGCACGGCCCCCUCGGCCGGAGCCAGAGCGGGCUCUCCGGGGCCUCAGAGGCGCCGAGCUCCCGCUGGAGCAGUACCUGGGCUGGGCACUGCCCCGGCGGCAGCAAGAGCGCACGAAGGCAUCUGCUUUCAUUCCGUGCACGUACUACUGACUUACUGACCGCUGCAUGGGCGGUUUUCCUUAUGGCAUGAUAAACAUUUGAACAGGAUUUUAAAAAAUCAUCACAACUGGAGAGAGUAUUUUGAGCCUGUUGAGAAUUAAGCAUAUUUAAGACAACAUUUGAAAAACAAGACUACAAAUACAUACUUUUACAUAUAAUUUGGAAAUGCCACUGGCUUUGCUGAACUAACUGCAUUUCACCUCAUCCCUUCUGAGAAAAUAAGCAGUUCCAGGCCUGGCUAAGCUGUGGUGGGAAGUCAUCUGGGAAUUCAGGAAGCUAACGGCACAAGCCAAGGCACUGUGGUUGAAUGCUUGAGCAAAGAUUCAUUCCACCUAACUCUAACCUUCAGAAAGUCUGGAAUCUGGUUUUGGCUGCCUCUGUAGUAAGCAGAGAUAGGUUCAGUUGCUCAAAGACAACUCAUCACACUUAGAAGAAAUACCUGUGUGGCUGAGUGUGUGCUUGCAGGUACAUCUUGCAGUACUGGAGACAGUAAUGCAAUCUUGGU
rnacentral:lncRNA from 1 species